rnacentral:rRNA from 1 species
CACGUAGGGGGCAAGCGUUGUCCGGAUUUAUUGGGCGUAAAGGGCGCGUAGGCGGUGCGGUAAGUCACCUGUGAAAUCUCCUGGCUCAACUGGGAGCUUGCAGGCGAAACUGCCGUGCUGGAGUGUGGGAGAGGUGCGUGGAAUUCCUGGUGUAGCGGUGAAAUGCGUAGAUAUCAGGAGGAACACCUGUGGCGAAAGCGGCGCACUGGACCACAACUGACGCUGAGGCGCGAAAGCUAGGGGAGCAAACAGG